UACAGAGGGGGCAAGCGUUGUUCGGAAUUACUGGGCGUAAAGGGCGCGUAGGCGGCCUGCUAAGUCGAACGUGAAAUCCCCGGGCUCAACCCGGGAACUGCGUCCGAUACUGGUGGGCUUGAAUCCGGGAGAGGGAUGUGGAAUUCCAGGUGUAGCAGUGAAAUGCGUAGAGAUGUGGAGGAACACCGAUGGCGAAGGCAGCCCCCUGGGUCAAGACUGACGCUCAUGCACGAAAGCGUGGGGAGCAAACAGG
rnacentral:rRNA from 1 species